UAUGUUCACUGCGCAGGCUGGCUGCUGUUAUAAAUCCGCUCGACUUACUCACAUCGCACACCCAGUCACACAGUACAGCAACAACAGCUGCAAGAGACGCUACUGGCUCGAACCAAGCUUUUUGCCAAGCAUUCCGCAAGCUUUUCAGACAGAAAACACUUCUUCGUUUGUCGUCUCAAAGCGUUAAAUAGCAGACCCACCAAGCCAACGAAACCCAACGCUUUCAAGCUCUACAAUAUUUUCCAAGCUUUAAACUCACCUCUACAUCAAGAAGAACCAUGCCUGCACAGGUGUCCACCUACUAUAUUGACCACAACCUUGACCGCUUCGACCACAUGAGCAUUGACCUUCACCGUCAUGUGACCUCCUCUCACAGUGGCAAGGGACGCACCAAGCGUGAAGCGAGUGCACACACCAACAGACCAGACCCAUGCGGUCACUGCAGGAAGCCGGUGACCAAACUGGUCAACAAUUCCCACAAACACCGGGCUUGAGCAGUUUCAAGGUCAAAUUGCGUGUGCUCAACCGGAUGUGGUCCCGCCCAGGGCCACGAGAUGAUGACCCUCAGCACGUCACUGGACUCUCCCUCAAACGAUCCACGGUUCAAACAGAGACAAACAGAGCAGCAGUAUCUCAAUAAUCGUACUAUAGAGAGUGCCAUUAGCUCAGCUGGUAUCACGCUAGACUGCAGUGCAGACAGCCCAGGUUCGGAUCCCCAGCCGAGAGAUUCAGGACUUGGGUUGUGGAGGAGUUUUUUUUUGUUUUUU